rnacentral:rRNA from 1 species
UGGGGAAUAUUGGACAAUGGGCGCAAGCCUGAUCCAGCAAUGCCGCGUGUGUGAAGAAGGCCUUCGGGUUGUAAAGCACUUUUAUCAGGAGCGAAACGCUGUCGGCUAAUACCCGGCGGAACUGACGGUACCUGAGGAAUAAGCACCGGCUAACUUCGUGCCAGCAGCCGCGGUAAUACGAAGGGUGCAAGCGUUAAUCGGAAUUACUGGGCGUAAAGCGUGCGUAGGCGGUUUCUUAAGUCUGCUGUGAGAUCCCUGGGCUCAACCUGGGAAUGGCAGUGGAUACUGGGAGGCUAGAGUGUGUCAGAGGGUGGUGGAAUUCCCGGUGUAGCGGUGAAAUGCGUAGAGAUCGGGAGGAACAUCAGUGGCGAAGGCGGCCACCUGGGACAACACUGACGCUGAGGCACGAAAGCGUGGGGAGCAAACAGGAUUAGAUACCCUGGUAGUCCACGCCCUAAACGAUGCGAACUGGAUGUUGGUCUCAACUCGGAGAUCAGUGUCGAAGCUAACGCGUUAGGUUCGCCGCCUGGGGAGUACGGUCGCAAGACUGAAACUUAAAUGAAUUGACGGGGUCAUAACUGUUUCCC